rnacentral:rRNA from 1 species
UACGAAGGGGGCUAGCGUUGCUCGGAAUCACUGGGCGUAAAGCGCACGUAGGCGGCUUUCUAAGUCAGUGGUGAAAUCCUGGAGCUCAACUCCAGAACUGCCUUUGAUACUGGAGAGCUUGAGUCCGGGAGAGGUGAGUGGAACUCCGAGUGUAGAGGUGAAAUUCGUAGAUAUUCGGAAGAACACCAGUGGCGAAGGCGGCUCACUGGCCCGGUACUGGCGCUGAGGUGCGAAAGCGUGGGGAGCAAACAGG